GACGAACGCUGGCGGCGUGCCUAAUACAUGCAAGUAGAACGCUGAAGGAGGAGCUUGCUCUUCUGGAUGAGUUGCGAACGGGUGAGUAACGCGUAGGUAACCUGCCUGGUAGCGGGGGAUAACUAUUGGAAACGAUAGCUAAUACCGCAUAACAGUAGAUGUUGCAUGACAUUUACUUAAAAGGUGCAAUUGCAUCACUACCAGAUGGACCUGCGUUGUAUUAGCUAGUUGGUGGGGUAACGGCUCACCAAGGCGACGAUACAUAGCCGACCUGAGAGGGGGAUCGGCCACACUGGGACUGAGACACGGCCCAGACUCCUACGGGAGGCAGCAGUAGGGAAUCUUCGGCAAUGGACGGAAGUCUGACCGAGCAACGCCGCGUGAGUGAAGAAGGUUUUCGGAUCGUAAAGCUCUGUUGUAAGAGAAGAACGAGUGUGAGAGUGGAAAGUUCACACUGUGACGGUAUCUUACCAGAGAGGGACGGCUAACCACGUG
rnacentral:rRNA from 1 species